rnacentral:rRNA from 1 species
CCUACGGGGGGCAGCAGUGGGGAAUAUUGCACAAUGGGGGGAACCCUGAUGCAGCGACGCCGCGUGGGUGAAGGAGCACCUCGGUGCGUAAAGCCCUAUCGGCAGGGAAGAAACAGACGGUACCUGACUAAGAAGCCCCGGCUAACUACGUGCCAGCAGCCGCGGUAAUACGGAGGAUGCGAGCGUUAUCCGGAUUUAUUGGGUUUAAAGGGUGCGUAGGCGGUCCGGAAAGUCAGCGGUAAAAGCCCGGGGCUCAACCCCGGCGAGCCGUUGAAACUGUCGGACUAGAGACGGCGGGAAGUACG